UCUCCGGGAGAAACCAAUCCUAGAGCAGCGCGGAGGGCGAGCGACCGGGCUCGCCUCGCUCCCGCCGCCCGCGGCUCUGCGCCGCUACUGCCGCCGCCACCGUGAGUCAAACUCCAGCAAGCUACCCCGCCGCUCAGGAGCGGGGUACCCCGGGGCGCACCCCGACCAGCACGCAGAGGAUACCAAACAGCUCCGGUGACGCUGCCUGGCCGACCCGGGCUAGCAAAAAUGGGAGAUAGCGACAGGGGUCCCGGACGUCGUGACCGCUGCUCCAAGCGUUUUCUUGCACUCAACCAGGCGGCUUCGGGUGUAUGUGUGUGUGUGUUUGUGUGUAGAGUCGCCGCGGACAGGGUGGGAUUCGGGCAGAGUUGCGCCUCCCACCAACACCUAAUGGUGCUGUCUUACUGUGUGCUAGAUAAAUAAAUGAUCCAAGCGGACCCCCGUUGGAGAAGUACGGCACUAGGAGCUCUGUGGAGCAGCCGUGAACAGGUCUCUGGUGUGGAUCCUGCGGGGUCAGACACUGAAGCUGCUGGGAGAAUGCGCACGGGCGUGUUAGGUGGGAGGGCGCCUCUGAGCUCCCCUGCCCCGCCGCGGUGCGGCUGGACAGAGAACCACCUUUGCUUUGGAGUUGCUGAGAGCUGCUGCUGAAGCAGACGACCUUUCUGUGAUCAGAUCUCGAAGCCAUUAACUUACCUUUUAAAAAGUAUUAUCUUUAAAUGUAGGUACGCCCUGGGAAACAAGGCGAGAGGCGAAGAUGAGAAAAGAUGCUGGCUAGUCUCUUAAAUUUCAUAGCCGGUUUCUUCCUUUUGGUAGAGGGAGAUCAGAGUAUUUCCAAUCUCGGGUACACUGUGGUACCUCCCUGAGGACCAGGUAUAGCACAGACAGGAAACGGGCAAGAGCCAGGGCUACCAUGAUAUACAUACGCUGGUCCUGUAAAGCGAUGCUUCCCACCCUACCCAGAUUUCUCGGCUAAGGUAGAAACGAAAGAGGCUUUUUUUUUUCAUUUAUUUAUUUUUUACAAGUGUCAUGCAAGGAUGGGAGAGUGAGAAUGGCAUCUUUCUUAUCACGUACCUCCCAGGGCUGUCCGAGAAUGCAGUCAGCAUUGUCCUGUCCUGUGAUGCACUCCACAAAGACGAAGUUUCCUAGGUAUCCAUUUUAUUCACACGUUAAGAGCAAAAGAAAAUGCUAAUCUAAGGAGAUGGCAGAGUGCAGAGAAUACGUUCAAACAGGAAGCCCUUGAGGGAUUGUGCCUACCAGAGUUCUUUGCACAGGCGUGAUUAAUAAAUUACUUUUUGAUGGCAG
rnacentral:lncRNA from 1 species